CAGAAUUUUUCUGAACAAAUUCUAGACGGAGCUGUUCAAACAUCAAGGCUCCACCUUGGCUCGGAGCACCGCCUAUCACCCCUAAACGGACGGACAAACAGAGGUCGUUAACCGUUGUCUUAAGACCUACCUACGGUGUUUUUCUUCGGAUGCGCCACGCCAAUGGUCGAAGUGGCUAUCAUGGGCUGAAUACUGGUAUAAUACUUCUUUCCACACCGCCACUCGAAUGACCCCUUUUCGCACACUCUACGGCUGUGAUCCCCCUCCACUGGUCGUUAUGGGCUAGGGCUAUCUCCGGUGGCCACAGUAGACCAGCAGCUAGCAUAUCGGGAUGCUACCUUGAACUUACUGAAGCAUCAACUACAGCGGGCGCAUCAAAAGAUGAAAGCACAGGCGGAUGGUUCUCACUGGGAUGUUACAUUUGAGGUGAACCUUCGGAUUUUGUGUACCUUAAAGUAGAGCUGAGAAGGUUGUCCUUUCUCAAGGAGACAUUUUGUCUUGGAAGCAAUGUAAAGAAAGACAGUCAAAUUGCCACCCCAGCUUCAAGUUUGAAGAUCCUCAAUCGCGAGAGAGAAAUGUUAAGCAAGCAAGUGCACAAGAAGCAUACGCGAAAGGCUUUUAUGCUCAACACAAAACAGAGAAGUUUGCAGGUAGCUCGGCACCUAUGGACAAACACAAAAGACGUUGAACACUCGAGGGAAUGUGCUGUUCUCACUGCGAAGUUGAUUGGGUUUGUUGAGCCAGGUCAGGUCCCAAAGGAGAUAUUUGGACUCAGCUUCUCACCCCAACCCAUCAACCGGAAACCCUUUGUUUGGAGACAGCAUGUCUUCUCUAUCAUCAAUUUCUAGAGAGAAAGGAAUAUUUUUUUUAUUUCAAGGUCUCUCCUUUUGUUCAACUUCUAUUUCUCAGUUAUUC